rnacentral:rRNA from 1 species
AUUGAACGCUGGCGGCAGGCUUAACACAUGCAAGUCGAGCGGAGAUGAGGUGCUUGCACCUUAUCUUAGCGGCGGACAGGUGAGUAAUGCUUAGGAAUCUGCCUAUUAGUGGGGGACAACAUUCCGAAAGGAAUGCUAAUACCGCAGACGCCCUACGGGGGAAAGCAGGGGAUCUUCGGACCUUACGCAAAGAGAUGAGCCUAAGUCGGAUUAGCUAGUUGGUGGGGUAAAGGCCUACCACGGCGACGUUCUGUAGCGGGUCUGAGAGGAUGAUCCGCCACACUGGGACUGAGACACGGCCCAGACUCCUACGGGAGGCAACAGUGGGGAAUAUUGGACAAUGGGCGGAAGCCUGAUCCAGCCAUGCCGCGUGUGUGAAGAAGGCCUUUUGGUUGUAAAGCACUUUAAGCGAGGAGGAGGCUACUAGUACUAAUACUACUGGAUAGUGGACGUUACUCGCAGAAUAAGCACCGGCUAACUCUGUGCCAGCCGCCGCGGUAACAC